ensembl:snRNA LOC120093296 U6 spliceosomal RNA
GUGCUCGCUUCGGCAGCCCAUAUACUAAAGUUGGAACGAUACAGAGAAGACUAGCGUAGCUCUGCGCAAGGAUGACACACAAAUUCAUGAAGCAUUCCAUAUUGGA